CUUUGUACACGCGGGAGCUCGGAGCACCGGGCUGAGAGGGCGCUGACCUCCGCUGACGGACGUACUCGACGCAUUCGGCGUACGAGCGGUCCGGCGGAGAACGGCUGCGUCGACCGCUGAACCUGUUACCGGGUAAUGCCGGCGUAGGGAGUAGGUCUCAUGACCAU
rnacentral:ncRNA from 1 species